CAUAGCCCCCGACUCAGCCCUCGCCUGCCUGCUCCCUCAUGGACCCUGCAGUCUGAGACACCUGCAGUCCCACUCGUGCCACCCCCAUUACCCCGCUGCUAAUUCACCUCAGACACCCCUCAGCCUUCCCCUCUGUUCCCAGUACCCAGUGGCCCUAAACAUCAACAGGGACUCAAACCUAUUACCCGCCCCUUGUUAACUAAUGGGUCUCUAAAAGUCACUCACUCGCCUUAUGACACCCUAUUCUCCCUGUCCUCAAACCCAGCAGCUCCUAUCACCUAAUCCAAGAUCCCAGAGCCAUCAUCAGUACAGGAACCCAGUUCACCCGGGGGCCAAACCCUCACACUGCGCUGUCUCGUGUUCCUCCACGGACCUCUCACUUUCCUGUGUUAGACUUAAACAUACACUUCUCACUAUUCCCUUACACCCACAAUGCCAGACCUUCCCGCGUUUACAUGGACGGAUUCGGAUGCUCCUCAGUCCACUCGACUAACACAGACAGUGCUGCCCCAGGAAUUCACAGACAGCCCUCACUUCUUUAGCCACGCCUCAGCCAGUGAUCUAGCACCUAUAAAUCUACAACCCAGUACCCCCAUUCGAGGCACAGAUGAGUUCACAAAGCUUAAGGAGGCCCUGCUUAGAGCCCCUCCACUCACACUCCCUAACCCUCUUCAGCCUUUAUUCUGUGCACUACGGCAGGUAAGGACAAUGCAGCGGGAGUGCUGGGACACAGGGAGGGACCUUCCUUCCAGGCGGCAGCGGACCUCUCAAAACAGCCAGACACUACAGUGAGGGGAUGGCCUCCCCGCCUUCAGGCUAUCGCAGCGACAGCCCUCCUCCAAAAAGUCCACUUUAGGACAGACAUCACAGCCUACUCACCACACCGUCUAGGCCGUCUAAUUGCUCACAAGACACUCCCAGCUCUGAUGGCCCCGCACAGCUACAACAAGCACAUCUGACUCUAAUACAAGGCCCCACUGUCACAGUCUCAGCCAGCAACACCCUCGAUCCACCACCCUGCUGCCCGUUCCCACAGCAGACACAGAGACAGGUCCUCCGCACGACUGCACAGAUGCUCUCCAGUGACCACAUUCCGGUUCUCUCGGUCCUCUGACACCUUCUUCCACGAUACACAGAUCUCUGCCUCCCUCAGCCCUCUGAGGGACACACACCAGGCCCUCCUUUAUCUCCAGGAGACUUAAUCUGUAUUAAAAUUCCUCUUCAACCUAAGAAAAACGGACCUCACCUCGUAUACCUUGGGACUCCAACUGCAGUGAAGGUAGAGAGACUCCCAUGCUGGUUUCACAUCACCCAAAUGAAGAAAUGUCAUCUGCGGCCCGAUAAUCUCAACCCCAAACACAUUAAAGGGACUUUAUGGGCCUCAUGUCCAGUAGCUCCCACCCAUCUCAGAUUAGCACAACACAAACGCUAAUGCUCUGCUACCUGCCUGGCUUGGGCCUAUAUAUGGCUCUAUGCUUCUCCUCUUCCUCACAGGCGCUCUAACACUCUCCCCAAAACACACCAUUCUCCAAAGGCUUACAGUUAUCACACUCUGCAUAUUAAUAAUCUUACUGCUUACAUUCCUCAGCUGCUUUAGUGAGCAUAAUAAGUUCCUCCUCUAACUCAAUCUAUUCCUAUACCUAACCCUGCAACACUCAGUCACCCCAAAAUACCAAUUCUACCUGACUAAACAUGGGAGGGGGCAGUGGGUCCUUCCCAUACAAAUAUUACUCAAGCCAAUUAGACUUCAGGACCUCUACUAUUUGAUUUCCUUUGGUAUGUGCUCACUAUUAAACGUUACCACAAUGGAUAACCCAUGUAUGCAACCUAUGCUCCUCACUUUUACCUCUGUCCUAAAAAUCCAAACUACGCACCAUCUUUUGACCAUUCUAGUUUCAUUGUCCCCACUGGAGAUGUGAGUCUGUAGGGUGAGUCCAUAGACAAGUCAUGAUGACUACACCAACACAAACAUAACUACCACAUGUAUUCUGGACAGAGGCCUUACAUGUUCACUUAAAAUAUCCAAAGACAUUUCCACUACUUCCUAACAGUCAAACACGGGGCUUUCACCUGCAUGUCACAUCUGCCCCAAGCCUGUAUUUAUAACUCUUCACAAACAACUGCUCCUCAAACUUUUACAUCUUUAAAUAUCUCAGACCCUAGCUAUGACUACCCUAUCAACAAAAUCUCCGUAUGGCACUCUAAUAAAACUAAACCAAUCUCUAUUCCAACAAAAACCUCAAACUAAAAUUCUGGGGCCCCUUACAAUUGCCCCAUCACAACUAUGGCCUAUAGACAUAACUUACAUAUUCAACCCUAACAAUUCACAAAAUGUUCCUUAGCUAAAAAACCCAACUGCCUACAAAACGUAUAUACUAAUGACACAAAAAGGCCAAUCAGCCUGUCCCUCAACAGGAUAAUUUUUGUCUGUAGACAUGGGGCCUACACACAUGUUCCUUUCCUAUGCAGGGAUCAUCUACAAUGGCUAAUAACACCACAGGUCACUUUGCACACUCAUUCACAAAUCCAACACCUACAUGGCCUACCUUGUCACACUAUCAUACGUAGAGUGGCCAUAGCACCUACUGUGACUGGGAUAAGUAUAUUUUCUGCCAUCGGUCUGGGCACAGGGAGAUUAAAAACCAGCCUCACAUACUACUAUCAGGUAUUACAUGACUUAAAAACAGCGAUAAAAUCAGGCUCACAAAGUGUUUUUUUUUUAAUCAGUACCGGGAAUUGAACUCAUGACCACACGCUUGCAAGGCAGGUGCUUAUGCCGCUAAGCUAAAUCCCCAGCCCCUGGUUUUGUUUUUUGACACAGGGUCUCCUUAAGUAUCUAGGCUGGCCAUGAACUCCCGGAGAUCUUCCUGCCUCAGCCUUUGACACACACCUCCAGGCCAGCUUUUGGCAUGUGAUGACUUGCCUGUGGCAGCAUAUAACAACCCAUGUUCUGUAACACAGCUGCCCUGCCCUUUCGACAGCAUUUGGGGACAGCAGGGAUUCUGUGCUGGUGGCCCCAAGCUCCACUUUGGGCACAGCCUGAAGCUCUUCCCCAGCUUCCAUUCUGUGGGCCCGAAGCACUGAGCAGGAGAUGCAGACAGAUGACUACAGUCAGUCAGUGAGCAGAUGUCAUGGUUUAUGUCAGUGGCUUCCAAGCCUCAUGCAAUUAUGGACGUGACCAAAUCUAACAUUUGUGAUUGGUUCGUUGUCUAUCACUUGGAUUGGUGGUGCCAGCAUAAGAUGUAAUGGUGGGAAGAAGGUGUGUGUCUCUCUCUUGCCGGUUUCAGCUUGCCCAUGAAUGGCUGCCCCGCCACACUAUGCUGCCUUGGAGCCAACUAACUAUGGUAAUGAGUAAAAAGUAACUAAGACAGCAGACGUUCCCACAGCACUAGUGCAACUGAUCUGUGUAGGGAAGGUCAAGACCAAAGCUCCGGGGCCUCUGGGGGCCGCGUGUUAGGGGUACUUGGAACUGAGCUCAGGGUUUCACAUGUUGAGCUCAGGGUUUCACAUGUUCUGGACAGGUACUCUGGCACUGAACUGCAUCUCAGUCCUUUAUUUUGUCUUACUUGAUCCCUGCCUGGAAUCACCCAAAUCUUUGAGACACUUCCUGACAAAUAGUAAAAGUACAGAAAAUCAAAAGACAGGGGCUGGGGAUUUAGCUCAGCAGCAUAAGCACCUGCCUGGCAAGCACGAGGUCAUGAGUUUGAUCCCCAAUACCAAAAAAAAAAAAAAAAAAAAAUCAAAAGACAGGAACAAGCACCUACGUAAGAGCGAUUUGGGGCUGAGAAAUAAGUUGUCUAGGAACAGUGUACAUUUAAGUUCCAAAGUCUUAAAAGUGGAAAUAAUUCCUAAAAUCCCCCCCCCUCUUUUUUUUGUCUGUUUCGUUUUUAUCGGUACCAGGGAUCGAACUCACGACUGCCUGCUUGUAAGGCAGGCACUUACGCCGCUGAGCUAAAUCCCCAGCCCCAAAAUUCCCUUUUUAAAAGCACACUGAUAAUAAUCUUUUUUUCUUUUUCUGGUACCAGGAAUUGAACCUAAGGUCUUGAAAAUCCCCAGCCCUAUAAUUUUUUUCUUUUUUCUCCUUGAAAUAAAAUGGAUUGGGGAAAAAUAUUUUUUUAAUGUAGUGCUAGGGGCUGGGCAUGGUGGUGCUCACCUGUACUCCCAGCACUUGGGAGGCUUAGACAAGAGAAUUGCUCUGAGGUCAAGGCCAGCCUGGGUUACAUAGUGAGUUUGAGACUGCCCUGAACUACGUGGCAAGAUCCUGCCUCAAAGAAAGAAAAGAAAAAGAAGAGUGGGUUAGGGGUGAGCCCUAGCCUUGUGGGAAUGCUCCACAUAUCCAGACCUGGCUGGACUUUAAAUACUGUUUUUUGUGGUAUUAGUGGCUAAAGUCAGGAUCUGCAGUGGCAAGCAGAAACGUGAAACAAUAGCCAGGACCUGGAGGCAGGUUUGUUACAGCAAUGAGCGCCGAUCAGGGUCACUCCCAGAAUGUCGGGCCUGAUCUCGGGUGGUCGGGGGCUUUUAUAAGAUGAGCAAGCAGGAAGUGCAGAGGCGGAAUGCUUGUUAGCUGGGGACAGUUUACACAAUGUGCGUCACAGUGAGCAGCUAUGUGUCACAGUGACAAGUCGUUUUAAGAGACAGAAGCACUAGAACUGGAACCCAAGCUGUUACUUGGGUAUACGGAGAAACUGUUCACUGGCUGAGGGGGCCAUUUUCUGUUACAGACUUUUGCACUGAGCUACAUCUCCCCGCCUUUGUUUUGAGACAGGCUAAAGUGCCCAGGUUGGACAACUUGUAAUGCUUCUGACUCAGCCUCCCAGAACGAUAUAAUUAUGGCCAUGCACCCCCACGCUGAGAAUAUUUUAAAAACCUAAAGCAGAAGCUGGGAGAGGUGAAUGUCAGUUGUAGAGUAUCUGUCUUGUAUGUGAGAGGCCCUGCAUUAAAGGCAAAUGCUAAAGCAAGUAUUUCUCUUAAUUCCCUUCUCCCCACCAAAAACUCCUAUUAUUAUCAUUAUUAUUUUUACCAGGAAUCAAACUCAUGACCUCAAGCUUGCUAGGCAGGCAUUGUGCUGCUGAACUAUAUCCCCAGCCCCUAAAAAUCCCUAUUAAAAUGGAUAGCAGACAUAUGGUGGCCACUGGCUGUAUUAGUGGAAAUGUUUAGCUCUACACAAUCUGAGCCUCUGUGGAGGUUUUAUGUGUGCAGGUGCUUGUCUCAGAAGGUUUGAGGAUCUUUCCUGGCCCAAAAGAAUCGGUCACACUCACUAGAGAACAAGGGGAAACACAGAAAAGUGUGCCAAACAAAAACCCCCAUAAUCCUAUCAUAUAGACAUACAAACCUACCAGCAAUAUUCUAGUUGUUUAUUUUUGGUCUUUCUUCCCCUAAUGAUAGAAAAAAAAAUAUAUAUGGUAUAAAUAAUUACAGAAUUAUUUAACCAUAUAUAUAUAUGGUUAACCAUAUAUAUAUGGUUAAAUAAUUACAGAAUUUGUGAUUUUUUUAUUGAAUUAAAUAGCAUUCAGUUCUUUCCCUUACCUUCAUAUGUUUUGUGUUUAUUAUUUAUUUCUGAAACGAGGUCUUACUCUGCUACCUAGGCUGGCCUUGAACCCUGGGGCCACCAGGUUUUCUUGUAUCAGCCUCCCCAGGAGCUGGGACUGUGGCAUCUCCCACAGUCUGGCUUCUCUUUAUACAUUUUAAUUGGCAGAGAGACCUUAGUAAUGCAAUUCAUAAUUCAGUGACUUUCAAAGUUUUCUUUUAUAUAUUUAUAUUCAGUUAUUUUGUAUAACCCUAUAAAAGUGAUCACAUUUUAAGCGAUCAUAUCCCAGUUUUGAUAACCGUGACUCUCAGCUUGCAAUUCAGGUUUCCGGACUGCUCCAUGGCUGUGCGGAGGGUCCUGCCCUGCACUGGCCACAGGUCAUGGCCAUCUGGCUCCAUGAGCAAGGGACAGGGUCUAUCACGGGGGCCAUCAAAGGUCUGUGUGAGGGUCACUGGGGGAAGGCCUCUGCAUACUUCAUGGCUCCCUGACCCAACCUGUUCCUGUGGUCGUAUAAUGAAAUGGAUGUUGGUACCUGUGUUACAGGCAGCUGAGUUAGUUAGAAAUAUUAGAGGCGGUCAGACAGGGCUGGGCGCUCAAAAGGAGCCAGAGCAGAAGUCCACAUACCUCACAGCCUUGGAAGAGACAAUUACCUCGUGCUGUGGGCCAGAUCUCAAGACAAAAGGUAAAGCAAAUACAGCCACAUGCCAAGGAUCCACAGUCCGGAUAGGUCUCUGUCACCCUGAGGAAGCCAGGGUCAGCGUCCCACCCCCACAGGAAGGGUCACUGCUGCUAAGCAUGGCAGCUCUCUACGUGACUUGCUCCCCCAUUUGUUCCUAAUUUAAUCAAUUUUACCUGAGCAAGUAAUCUUACUGGUCGAUCACAGUUCUGUCCUGCCUAUCCCCACCUCAAGCAUUCCCAUUUUCCCCAUCUUUGACUCAUCUAACCUCAUGAUUUUACUCUAUAAAAGUCCCUAAAAAGACAGUCUUUGGCAACUCACCAGGACCCCUUCUCACACUUUCUUUCUCUCAAUAAAUAUAUUCUACCCUUAACCUCUGUUGUUCCUAAAAUUCAUUCUUUCAUUUUAGAGAACAUGAACUCGUACUGGAUGUACAGUUUCAUUCUGCUAUAUCACCUGGACCUGGAAAGAGGGUGCUGCCUUCCAGCCUUUGCAGCUGGGUCUCUUUGGAAACCAAAACCAGGGCCAGCCCCUCCCAAAGGCUCUGCAGGCUUCCUGUGCAGAGCCAGGUUCCACUUCACUUGGCUUCUCUGCCCCAAAGCACCAAUUUCUUUCUUUCUCCUUUCUUUUUUUCCUGUUCCUUGGAGGCGAGGUCUUGCUAUGUAGCCCAAGCUGGUCUCGAACUCACAUUGAUCCUCCUGUCUCAGCUUCCUGAGUGUUGGAAUUACAGGCGUGCGGCACCCACGCCUGCCCUCUUCACCUCUUUUCUUUCUGUCUUUUGUAAAUGUCUCUCUCAGCAUUGACAUAGAUUUCAUGAGAAUAUCUUGGCAGUUUGGAUGGUAGGUGACUGUCCAAUCUUAUAAGGGAGCCGCUCAGGCCAAGACCAGGUCUUCUGCGUGGACCCUGCAGACGCAGCCGAGAAGACGGCGAGCGCCCCUUUGUGGCUGCGGAGAAGCGCCCAGCCGCACCGCAGCCCGGCCGCCGCCAGGGGCAACCGCCUGCCCAGCGCGGCCAGGAGUGCGGCCCUGCCCCCAAGGUGGCUUCUGGAAACUGCAACCUUGGGACGAAAACGCGAGCAUUUAAGGUGCUGGAUGACUUAUGUUCGGGCCUGGGGUGGGGCAAGGUCGUUUAGGCUGGGCUGGCCUUCACAGAGGCCAGGUGCUGCGCCCGCGGAUGGCAGCGCCACGGCGGGAGCUGGACUCUAUGCUACACUCCCAGGCUCCCCAGGCCGCCUGCGCCCUGCGACCCCUGCUGCGACCCUGUGCAAUGCAUCUUCAGCCGGCCUGCGCGGCAGUCCGAGUUCUUCCCUUCAGGGCCUUAUAUGGUAAGGCUGUGAACGGAACAUUCCUUCCUAUUUGUCACAAAUGUUUUCCACUCUUAGUGGAAUCCAGCUUUUUUUUUUCUUUCAGGACUAGGGAUUGAACCUAGCGCCUUCAUGAGCAGUGCUAUUACAUUCCCAUGUUUUUUUAAAUUGUCCUAUCUGUAUCUUGAAACAGAGUCUUGCUAAGUCAGUUGCCUGGCGUGGGUUCGAGCUUGUGAUCCUUUUGCCUCCUCCUGCUGGAGUUCUGGGAGGUAGGUGCAAGCUCCAUGCCCAGCGUACUCUAACAUUUCUUGAGCUCUUUUUUUGGCAGUUCUGGGGAUAAGUUGCUGAAGUGCCCAGCAUGGGCUCGAACCCAUGACUGCCUGCUUCAGCUGCCCACCGUGCUGGGUCAGUCAGGGAGGUGCUCCUCCUGCCCUCCCCGCCGGCUGCAUCCCCUCGGAACACAGACUGCUUCGAAGGGCUCAGGCACAGAGGCCAAGGCUCCUGAUGGACCAGCCCGGCCCAGCGGCCCCCUCUCUGGCAGUUUGGGUCCACUGGAGUACACUGCGUUCGGGACCGCGGCCCAAAGGGGAACUAAGUACUCAGAAGCGCGCCAAGGCACAGCAGUUUGAAAACAUCAAACUUAGAGUACCCUGGCGCAAGAGAGAAGCAAAGUACAAAACGAACAGCUUCCGUGAGUUGAGGACGUGGACAGGAGCACACAGCCCACGGCGCUGCGCUGUCUCCUUCUCCUGGACAGAGAGGCAGAGGGUGAUGUGACCUCGGACUGCAGUGGAUAUUCAUGCUGUCUGAGGAGCCGGUUGGGAUUCUGUGUGCAGACAGGAAGGGGAGUUGCAGUUAGGGCCGAGGGAGCAGCAGGAAGCAGGCGUCCCGCUUUGGCCUCCUCCACGUCAGCCCACCGCCAUCACGGUGCAGGAAUUUAUUCUAGGGCAAGAGCCUUUCACAGACCACUCAGGACCCCCAAGUGCAGCACCCGUGGGGGCAGGCACUGACCCCCCGGCCCGGGUCUGGGGAUGCUAGCUCCGGUUUGGUCUCAGUCAUUGCACACAGAAGGCAAAGUCUUAACCAACCCAGCCCGGAACCAUGCACAGCGAGACAUUAGAAUUCAGUCCCCAGGAAACCAAGACGACAAACUCCCUGGCCGGCCAGCCCUACCACAAUGCAAACACACAGGCAGUUUCCGUACUAGCAAAAUACUUUUAUUAUUUUUAUAAUGAUGAAACAAGGAAAGUAAAAGGCUUCUUUUUGGUGUAUACCAGAGUUAAGGGAAGUGGAAUAAAGGGAUUAAUAGGACUUUUAUGCACUUCUGAUGACCAUAAAAACUUAACAAUACUAAUUGUUUGCCAUAAAACUUAUAGCUCCCCAAAAACAGAUAUAUAAAGGA